AACGAACGCUGGCGGCAUGCCUAACACAUGCCAGUCGAACGAGACCUUCGGGUCUAGUGGCGCACGGGUGCGUAACGCGUGGGAACCUGCCCUUAGGUUCGGAAUAACUCCCCGAAAGGGGUGCUAAUACCGGAUAAUGUCUUCGGACCAAAGAUUUAUCGCCUUUGGAUGGGCCCGCGUUGGAUUAGCUAGUUGGUAGGGUAAAAGCCUACCAAGGCGACGAUCCAUAGCUGGUCUGAGAGGAUGAUCAACCACACUGGGACUGAGACACGGCCCAGACUCCUACGGGAGGCAGCAGUGGGGAAUAUUGGACAAUGGGCGAAAGCCUGAUCCAGCAAUGCCGCGUGAGUGAUGAAGGCCUUAGGGUUGUAAAGCUCUUUUACCCGGGAUGAUAAUGACAGUACCGGGAGAAUAAGCUCCGGCUAACUCCGUG
rnacentral:rRNA from 1 species